UACGUAGGGUGCAAGCGUUAAUCGGAAUUACUGGGCGUAAAGCGUGCGCAGGCGGUUUUGUAAGUCUGUCGUGAAAUCCCCGGGCUCAACCUGGGAAUUGCGAUGGAGACUGCAAGGCUAGAAUCUGGCAGAGGGGGGUAGAAUUCCACGUGUAGCAGUGAAAUGCGUAGAGAUGUGGAGGAACACCGAUGGCGAAGGCAGCCCCCUGGGCUAGCACUGACGCUCAGGCACGAAAGCGUGGGGAGCCAAAAGGGAGUUA
rnacentral:rRNA from 1 species